GUCUUCUUUCAACAGUGAAACUGUCAAAUAUUUGCCUCCCUUCAACUCUCAAAAUAGAGCAAACCUACAAACUAUAUUGCUAAGUUUUCAUCAAACUAUAUUGCUAAUCUUGAACAAUGCCUACACUUCCAAUAGAACUAAUUGUUGAAAUCCUGUCAAGGCUUCCGGUUAAAACCCUCUUGAAGUUCAGGUGUGUCUCAAAAUCCUGGCUUGCUUUAAUCCGUAGCCCUGAAUUUGUCAAAACCCAUCUUAAUGUAUCUGCUAAAAACAAAGACUACACACACCAUAGGCUUGUGUUGACUGAGACAAUUAAUUUAUUUAGUUCUUUUAAUAUCCAAUACAUACUUAGGGACUGUUCUAUUAGCUCUUUACGUAAUAAUUCUGGGAUUGAGGCAUCUGACUUGAAUUAUCCCAUGAAGAACCAACAACAAAGCGUUUGUGUUGUGGGUUCGGUUAAUGGAUUGAUUUGUCUUGCCAUUAAGGACACGGACUUGGUUCUAUGGAAUCCAUCAAUUAGAUUGUUCAAGAAUUUGCCUGAUUCUGGGCCUUCAGUAACCGGUGAUUACCAUUUCGAUAGUUGCAUAUAUGGUUUUGGAUAUGAUGAGUCCAAUGAUGAUUAUAAGGUAGUAGGUGUGCUUUGGAACAGAUAUAAACUCUGGCAUCCUCUUGAGGUCAAAAUAUAUAGUUUAAAGAGUAAUUCUUGGAGAAGUAUGGAUGAUAUUCCGGAUGGGUUGUGAUUGGGUAAACAAUGUAAGGAUGGGUUGCGAUUGGUUAAACCAUGUAAGUUUGUAAACGGGAAGCUUCAUUGGGCUGGGGAACUUCAUUGGGCUAAUAGUAUUAAUGGUCCUUUCCAUAAGGGCUGGAACAUUAUUUCUUUUGAUUUGGCUGAUGAGAAAUGGGGAAAGGUGGAGCCGCCCCGCUAUGGAGGAGAAGGAGACUUUUCGUUGAAGCUUGACAUGUUGGGAAGUGAUCUUUCUGUCAGGUUUUGUAGCUAUGUGACAAGUCAGGCAGAUCUGUGGGUUAUGAGAGAGUAUGGGGUUAAAGAGUCUUGGACAAAGAAGUAUACCAUAUAUCUUUGUUAUGGGUAUUCUUCUUUUACUUCUCAAACACUUUGCAUGUCAAACAAAGGUGAUAUAUUGUUUGUGCCUGGAUCGACUUUAACGGUACACAAUCCAGAGGAUGAACCUAUCAGAUAUCCAAAGGUUACCAACUUUGGUUUUUGUGUUGCGGUGGACAUCUACAUUGAAAGACUAGUUUGUGCCCCCCUUUACAGAAAGAACCGAUCACAACAAGAACGAACGCUGCAGAAGCUAAGAUGGUGACAAUAUUGUAGAUAAUGACUUAAGCACAGUGGAAUAUACGAGAAAGAGAUAUUUGAAUGAACUUAGUUCAGUCAGAAUUGCGGUAGAUGGAAGAGAAGACACGUGUUGGAAUGUGGAUCGUUUGGAGAGAUUUUGAAGGGGUAGAGAGGAACUUUGGACAAUUGAGAAGUAGUGUCUUAUCCCUUAUAGGUGCACCGAUGAGGUCCCUUAUGUAUAGAAAUUGGCUGUCUUUUGUAAAGAAUCAUAUCUUUUUGUAGGUUUUCUACUUUGGGGUAUACCUGUCGGCUGUUGUAUACAGGCUUUGUUAUGCCAAAAUUUUCAAAAAAAAAAAAAAAAUCAAGUAUUACUUUAUGGGAAAAAAUAGAGGGCCCUAUUUAAUUAAGUUUAGAUAGAGGUUCAACUUUUUGGUCAUAUUUGUUAUUUUGAAAAGUAAUUAGUCCUACUAUAGAACUCGUUAUCUUGUUUCUAAAUAAAGCGGCAAAUUGUAAUCCCUAUGUUUCAUGUUAUGUGGCACUUUUUGCUUCUUAAUAUGUUCCAAAAAGAGAAAACUGUUGGAAGAACAAUAACAAAAGCAAGAAUAAGUGAUAGAGAAUGUCAGAUUGAGACGACAAAUCUACCUGCAAUGAUUAUGAGAGUGAUGUGGGACUGGAGAUAUUUGGGUAAUCGAAGAAAGAAAGAAAUAAAUUCUGAUUUAAGUGCUGGGGGUCCUAAUCCAAUUUACUUUCCAAGUUCUUUUAUGUAUAUUACUAUCUUAAACAGAGCUGGAAACAGUGUUGAUACCUUGUUUUGACAAAAUUGUUGUAGUCAUCACUCAUUACAAUAACUUGCUGAAUUUUCAAAAUUUCAUGGUUUGCCAAAGUUAAGAAACUAGUGCCUUUGUUUAAUGCAUCUCAAGUAAUACUGGUCAUUGACUCAACUGUUAUUGACAAUCUGAAAUGUUUUCUUGACCUCUUGAUACAAUUGAUCAAGCAACGGAAGGAAAUACAGGGGAGGGAUCAUAAUAAAUCCCUGUAAGAAUAAAAUCUUGACCUCUUGAUACACUUGAUGGGAGCUCAAUGUACAUUGUCGUGAAAUGAAUAUUGUUCUUUUGUGAUAACAAGGAAAGUCUCGUUUUAAUUGGUGUUUGUAUAUGACCGUGCUCGAGGACAGUCAUACGUGUUGCACCUUAUCAAGUUAUCAUAUACACCACUUUUACUAGAAUCAUGACAGAUCAGUAGGGUGUUUUCAUUUCAACUAUUGAACUAUCAGGAAGUAAAAGCUGUUAUUAAGAACAAUCAAUCCACCUACUGCUUACUGCAUGCAUCUUGAUGAUGAAGCAUGGUAUUCCCCUUACUUACGUUCAUCCGUUAUGUUAAUUUUCUUUUAUGUGUAUAAAGCAAGGGUUACCUAUGCUGGUCUUUACUACAUAUUGAUCUUACCUGUGCCGCUUAGAUUUGUAAUGUAUUGCUGUAACCAAAAUCUAGCAGCAGCCUGGGCAUUUUAUAUGCUAAAAAGAUUUUCGCCAUUUUUAGCUGAACGCCCAGCUUUUGUUUUCCAGGGUUUCUAACAAAAUAUAUAGUCGUUUCUCAAGGUAUUAUGUAUAUAAAUUAAAAAAAAAAAAAAAAAAAUCAAGUUAACGUGGUCCGCUGUCCCCUCACUUCCCCGAAGUCCGCCUCUGAAAGCAGUAGGUAAUGUAAUUUUUGCUACAUGUUAAUCGUAUCCCGUGUGUGGGGAUAAUAUGCUUGUGCUGCUUUCUAAAUCUUCACUUCUUUUUUGGAAUAAUUAAAUCUACAUUGUUUUUACUUGUCAUUAAGUAUCAGUGAGGUG